rnacentral:rRNA from 1 species
AUUGAACGCUGGCGGCAUGCUUUACACAUGCAAGUCGAACGGUAACAGGCCGCAAGGUGCUGACGAGUGGCGAACGGGUGAGUAAUGCAUCGGAACGUGCCCAGUCGUGGGGGAUAACUACUCGAAAGAGUAGCUAAUACCGCAUACGAUCUAUGGAUGAAAGCGGGGGACCGUAAGGCCUCGCGCGAUUGGAGCGGCCGAUGUCAGAUUAGGUAGUUGGUGGGGUAAAGGCUCACCAAGCCAACGAUCUGUAGCUGGUCUGAGAGGACGACGAGCCACACUGGGACUGAGACACGGCCCAGCCUCCUACGGGAGGCAGCAGUGGGGAAUUUUGGACAAUGGGCGCAAGCCUGAUCCAGCAAUGCCGCGUGCAGGAAGAAGGCCUUCGGGUUGUAAACUGCUUUUGUACGGAACGAAACGGCUCUGGUUAAUACCCGGGGCUAAUGACGGUACCGUAAGAAUAAGCACCGGCUAACUACGUG